rnacentral:lncRNA from 1 species
GCAUGAGUCUUAAAAGUGAAGUCGAGUAGUCGCAUGAGUCAUUGUUACUGUUGACAUUGUUGUUGAAUGAUGAAGUUGAUAAUAAAUGUUGUAUUAUGAUUGUUGAAUGAUUAUGAUGAUAGGGUGUUAGAUUCAUUAUGUUAUUAUAUAUUAUUAUUAUUGUUGGAGAAUCUCACCCCUUCUGCUUGAAAAUGUUGCCCUUCCUAUGGGUAACUUGCAGGUGAUCCUGAGUAGUAGGUGGUGGCUCACAAAGUCUAGGGCUCUGAUACAUGGGAUGGGGUUUUAUUAUUUGAAUUCUUUCCUAUGUAUCGAUUUUGAAUUAUAACUGAUGUAGUUAUUUGGUGGUUGACUUUUAUGUUGAAAUGGCCUUUAUGCCAAGAAUAAUUAUUGUAGACUGAAUGAUGAUGAAAAUAAUCCGCUGCGAGUUCAAUGAUAAUUUUAUGAACGACGUUUGAUUAAAUAGAUUUUAUAUAUCCUCUAUUUAGCAAUUUUUUAAAAUGAAGAAAUGUAGCAUGCUCGUUAUGAUUA